rnacentral:lncRNA from 10 species
CUGCCUCCCAGGUUCAAGUGAUUCUUCCGCUUCAGCCUCCUGAGUAACUGGGAAUACAGCCUGAGCUGACCAGCGCUUAUCCUCAUGUGACCUUGGGUGAAUUAAUGGACAUCUCUGAACCUCCAUUUUCUCCUGUGUAAAAUAGCAGCUGCAGCAAAAAUGAAAUAUCAAUAAUCUCUGAAAAGAAUUUAGCUCAGUGUUUGGUGAAGAUUGCCUCUCCUGAAGUCUAGAAAAGGGCUGGUUUGUUUGGAAGGCUGUGCCACGUGGCAAGAAGAGAAUAAACAUCUUGGGAAUUCUGGCUGUGCUGUACAUUUGCUGUGUGGCCUUCGGCAAGCUACUGACUUCUCUGAACUCAGGAUCUACAAACUGAGGAUAAGCAACAGGAGAAUCUCUGUGAAGUACUUUAAAAACAGGAGAUGUUUGGUAAAUGUGCAGUCACGUUCAUGACUCUUCAAAUUUCUUUUGAAAUUUCUGAAAAUGCCUGGUGCGGUGGCUCAUGCCUGUAACCCCAGCACUUUGGGAGGCUGAGGCGGGUAGAUCAUGAGGUCAGGAGUUCAAGACCAGCACGGCCAAGAUGGUGAAACCCCGUCUCUACUAAAAAUACAAAAAAAUUAGCUGGGCGUGGUGGUGCGUGCCUGUAAUCCCAGCUACUCAGGAGGCUGAGGCAGAGAAUUGCUUGAACCUGGGAGGCAGAGGUUGCUGUGAGCCCAGAUCGCACCACUGCACUCCAGCCUGGGCGACAGAGUGAAAUCCGUCUCAAAAAAUAAAAAAAAUUAAAAAAAAGAAAUUUCUGAAAAUACGUAUAUGGGGGAUUAAUUGCACAUGUGGUGUUGUACAUCCAUUAUUCUAUUUAAUCCUUACACCAGCCCUAUGAAGUGUCUAUGAUUAGUGUUAUUGCCC